UACGUAGGGUGCAAGCGUUAAUCGGAAUUACUGGGCGUAAAGCGUGCGCAGGCGGUUAUAGUAAGACAGGUGUGAAAUCCCCGGGCUUAAACCUGGGAACUGCAUUGUGACUGCAUAGCUAGAGUACGGUAGAGGGGGAUGGAAUUCCGCGUGUAGCAGUGAAAUGCGUAGAGAUCGGGAGGAACAUCCGUGGCGAAGGCGGCCAUCUGGAUCCGGAUACGUGACGCUGAGACGCGAAAGC
rnacentral:rRNA from 1 species